GGGAAAGUUGAAAAGAACUUUGAAGAGAGAGUUAAAAAGGGCGUGAAACCGCUUAGAAUAAAACGGACGGAGCCGUCUGUAGCCCGUCGGAAUCAGUCGGAUCGACGCGUGAAAGCGAGUACGACAUUGAAAAACGGAACGAAAGUCCGGUCGUCUCGUAGUAAAAAAGUAGCGCUCGUUCGAUGCAUUUCCGAAGGGUAAGCACCGCGACCGAUGUCGAAGGCUAGCGAAGCCGUCGGAUUGAGGUCGAGCUCGUUUACUCGAGUCUCGUUACCAGUCCUUCGGUAUGAAUAGAAUUCGUUAGACCCUAGCAUCGAGAAUAAAAACGAACGAACGUCGGUGAACUAUAUACGCUCACCCGUUACGACGGACGUGCGGCCGUUCGAUCGUCGCCUGCUCGCAGGUUACGGUUUGAAUCCGGUUCGUAUCCGAAGUCGUCGGUGACGUUUCGGCGUUCGGGAGUCCGCGGUGUCCGAGUCGGUCACCCGUCCGACCCGUCUUGAAACACGGACCAAGGAGUCUAACGUAAGCGCGAGCUAAUGGGUGGAAAACCCAUAAGCGAAAUAAAAGUAAAGGUCGUUUCGGACGGCCGAGGUACGAUCCCGAAGAACGAAAGUAUCUACGGGCGCAGUACCGUCCCGUCCCGACCGCUUGUCGGUAGGGCGGAGAUAGAGUGCAUACGUUGGGACCCGAAAGAUGGUGAACUAUGCCUGAGCAGAGCGAAGCCAGAGGAAACUCUGGUGGAGGUUCGUAGCGGUUCUGACGUGCAAAUCGAUCGUCAGACUUGGGUAUA
rnacentral:rRNA from 1 species